CGUUUGCUCCCACGCUUUCGCGCCUCAGCGUCAGUACCGGUCCAGUGAGCCGCCUUCGCCACUGGUGUUCCUCCCAAUAUCUACGCAUUUCACCGCUACACUGGGAAUUCCACUCACCUCUCCCGGUCUCAAGCCAAGCAGUUUGGAAGGCAGUUCCUCGGUUAAGCCGAGGGAUUUCACCUUCCACUUGCCAGGCCGCCUACGCGCCCUUUACGCCCAAUAAUUCCGAAUAACGCUUGCCCCCUCUGUAUUACCGCGGCUGCUGGCACAGAGUUAGCCGGGGCUUCCUCUGCAGGUACAAUCAACUCCCCGGCGUAUUAAGCCGAGUCGCUUUUUCCCUGCUGACAGGAGUUUACAAUCCAAAGACCUUCAUCCUCCACGCGGCGUUGCUGCGUCAGGCGUUAGCCCAUUGCGCAAAAUUCCCCACUGCUGCCUCCCGUAGGAGUCUGGACCGUGUCUCAGUUCCAGUGUGGCCGAUCACCCUCUCAGGCCGGCUACCGAUCGUCGCCUUGGUAGGCCAUUACCCUACCAACUAGCUAAUCGGACGCGGACCCCUCCAAUGGCGAGAGCUCUUGCGAGCCCCCUUUGACCUCUCGGUAUCAAUGCGGUAUUA
rnacentral:rRNA from 1 species